rnacentral:rRNA from 1 species
UAGAGUUUGAUCAUGGCUCAGAUUGAACGCUGGCGGCAGGCCUAACACAUGCAAGUCGAGCGGAAACGAUGGAAGCUUGCUUCCAGGCGUCGAGCGGCGGACGGGUGAGUAAUGCAUGGGAAUCUGCCCGAUAGUGGGGGAUAACCUGGGGAAACCCAGGCUAAUACCGCAUACGUCCUACGGGAGAAAGCAGGGGAUCUUCGGACCUUGCGCUAUCGGAUGAGCCCAUGUCGGAUUAGCUUGUUGGUGAGGUAAUGGCUCACCAAGGCGACGAUCCGUAGCUGGUCUGAGAGGAUGAUCAGCCACAUCGGGACUGAGACACGGCCCGAACUCCUACGGGAGGCAGCAGUGGGGAAUAUUGGACAAUGGGCGAAAGCCUGAUCCAGCCAUGCCGCGUGUGUGAAGAAGGCCCUCGGGUUGUAAAGCACUUUCAGUGGGGAAGA